rnacentral:rRNA from 1 species
AUGACAAUGCUUUCGAUAGUCUGUACUAAAUUACUUUGUAUGAAUGAACAUCUCGGCCGUCGAGUAGCUGAUCACCAUUUCAAAUUCUAUAUCCGUGGUUCAAGAAAUGGAAUUGCUAUUCUCGAUUCAGACAAGACACUGAUUUGUUUACGAAACGCUCUUCAUUUUAUAGGAUCUCCCAGUCGUCAAAAAGGCCGUUCCUUCUUUUUAAAGACCAAUCAUUUAUUUAUUUAUGAGAUAACGGAAGAAAUGGCGAGCUAUUUUAAGAAGCUAUUUAAGAAAUGUGAAUUCUCAUUAAAGAAGAAGAUCAAUUUUGGGUUGAACCAACAACCUGAUUGUGUGGUUAUUCUGAAUGCAGAUAGAAAGUCUUCGGUCAUACUGGAAGAUGAUCGAUCACAAAUACCUAUUCCACCCUUAGUUGAUUCUACGAUCCCAUGGGAAUCCUAUAAAAGAAUCACUUAUCCCAUCCCAGCGAAUGAUCCUAUACAGUUCGUAUAUCUAUUUCAUCAUUCGAUCAUGAAAACAGUGAUUCUUGAACAGAAUGCGAUUAGUAGAAAAGCGCAAUCUCUCAGAGUCACUUUGAGUACGGGGAAGUCCACAGGAGGGAUGAGAUCCGCCUACUACUCCACCUCUUCUUCUUCCCCAAUAGACGAAGAAGAAAAUAGGGCCAAGGUGCUAUUGGAGAUGCGCAAAAAAUAUCCAUAG